UGCAAGCUCGUAAAUAAACAACUAUGGGAAAUUCAAGUGGCUUAAGUAAACUACAACUAGAAGGCACACCGAACUUGAAAUAUAGAAUAGAAGAGUUUCAGUCAGUUCAACCUGCUAUCUUUGCCCCGUGAUGGCUUCAUCCAAGCACUGGAAUUAACAAAGCUACAGUUCACCAAUCACCAGACAAAAUUGGAAUUUCAAUCUUUGGUUUGAUACCUCGAAAUCUAUUUAUGUCUAGAAGAAAGUAAUAUGGCUUCUAGUACUCUGGUUUUCUUAAAUUCAUUAUAUGGAGAGCAGAGUUACAUGACAGAUUACAGGAAAAAGAAAAAAAGUUACUGCUACACAGAUUGCAAGAGCAAAUCCAGAGAAGUAUUUGGAAACAUGUAGAUUACUUAUCUUCUUCUUCAGCAUCCGGCUCCGCAAAGAGUGGCUCGGGUUGUGUAUCAGCAUAUGCUGGAGCAAUAAAUUUUGGAUCUUUUGCAGCUGCAUCAGCAUGCUUCAAGAUUGCUUCUCUAGGAUCCUCCUCCAUCCAAGUCUCCUUUAUCAAGCCACCUUGCUUAAGAAGGUAUUGUGUUAACAAGCUUCCCUUGGUUGAACCAACUCUACCACCAAAACCAGGCCCUGUUAUUGGCAGCUCAGGUUUAUGCGACUUCAGUGGAUCCUUCAGUUCUUUCUCUCGCUGACGCUUGCGACUAGGUUGAUCUCUAAAUAAGGGUAGUGCA
rnacentral:misc_RNA from 1 species